rfam:Pteropus alecto contig54055, whole genome shotgun sequence.
GUCUACGACCAUGCCACCCUGAACAAGACUGAUCCUGUCUGAUCUUGGAAGCUAAGCAGGGUCGGGCCUGGUUAGUACUUGGAUGGGAGACCACCUAGGAAGACCAGGUGCUGUAAGCG